AGCAGCCGCGGUAAUUCCAGCUCCAAUAGCGUAUAUUAAAGUUGUUGCAGUUAAAAAGCUCGUAGUUGAAUUUCGGAAUCUGUCCAUCGGUCGGGCUUCACUGUCCGUACUGGUGUGGUGGGUUCUUACCUUCUGAAUAACCAGCAUGCCAUUAAUUUGGUGCGUUGGGGAAGCAGGACUAUUACCUUGAAAAAAUUAGAGUGCUCAAAGCAGGCC
rnacentral:rRNA from 1 species